UACAGGGGGUGCAAACGUUGCUCGGAAUCACUGGGCGUAAAGGGCGCGUAGGCGGCGUUUUAAGUCGGGGGUGAAAGCCUGUGGCUCAACCACAGAAUGGCCUUCGAUACUGGGACGCUUGAGUAUGGUAGAGGUUGGUGGAACUGCGAGUGUAGAGGUGAAAUUCGUAGAUAUUCGCAAGAACACCGGUGGCGAAGGCGGCCAACUGGACCAUUACUGACGCUGAGGCGCGAAAGCGUGGGGAGCAAACAGG
rnacentral:rRNA from 1 species